UACGAAGGGGGCUAGCGUUGUUCGGAAUUACUGGGCGUAAAGCGUGCGCAGGCGGUUCUCCAAGUCAGUGGUGAAAGCCCGGAGCUCAACUCCGGAACUGCCAUUGAAACUGUAGAGCUAGAGUACGAGAGAGGUGAGUGGAAUUCCCAGUGAUAGAGGUGAAAUUCGUAGAUAUUGGGAAGAACACCGGUGGCGAAGGCGGCUCACUGGCUCGUAACUGACGCUCAUGCACGACAGCGUGGGGAUCAAACAGG
rnacentral:rRNA from 1 species